AGUGAACGCUGGCGGCAGGCCUAACACAUGCAAGUCGAACGGCAGCACAAGAGAGCUUGCUCUCUGGGUGGCGAGUGGCGGACGGGUGAGGAAUGCAUCGGAAUCUGCCCAUUUGUGAGGGAUAACCUCGGGAAACCGGGACUAAUACCGCAUACGACCUACGGGUGAAAGCAGGGGAUCUUCGGACCUUGCGCAGAUGGAUGAGCCGAUGCCGGAUUAGCUAGUUGGAGGGGUAAAGGCCCACCAAGGCGACGAUCCGUAGCUGGUCUGAGAGGAUGAUCAGCCACACUGGGACUGAGACACGGCCCAGACUCCUACGGGAGGCAGCAGUGGGGAAUAUUGGACAAUGGGCGCAAGCCUGAUCCAGCCAUGCCGCGUGUGUGAAGAAGGCCUUCGGGUUGUAAAGCACUUUUGUUGGGAAAGAAAAGCAGCCGGUUAAUACCCGGUUGUCAUGACGGUACCCAAAGAAUAAGCACCGGCUAACUUCGUG
rnacentral:rRNA from 1 species